UGCGCCACCUCACUUCCAUUGCAGCCAUUUGAAUUCAUGAGAAGGAACUUCUCAUGAAUUUUUUCCUCAUGCCAAGCCCUCUCCAUGCCCCACUUUAAUGUGCCAUAUGAAUGGAUAAGGAUGAUUGGUUGGCUAUUCAAAUUCAAAAUAAAGUUUGAAUUUGAAUGGGCAAUCAAUCUUUGCACCUUAUCCCUUUUUUUUACGCCCCAUUUAUUACAUGAGAAAAGAUUUCUCAUGAAAUCACUCCAUGCACAAUUUAAGCCAUGCCUCACACCUUUAGUGGAUAAGGGAUGAGUUGGUGUCCAUUUGAAUUCAAAAUUUGAUUUGAAUUCAAAUAUGCAAUUACUCAUCUUUAUCCUUUCUUUUGGAUAAGAC
rnacentral:lncRNA from 1 species